rnacentral:rRNA from 1 species
GAUGAACGCUGGCGGCGUGCCUAAUACAUGCAAGUCGAGCGAACAGACGAGGAGCUUGCUCCUCUGACGUUAGCGGCGGACGGGUGAGUAACACGUGGAUAACCUACCUAUCAGACUGGGAUAACUUCGGGAAACCGGAGCUAAUACCGGAUAAUAUAUUGAACCGCAUGGUUCAAUAGUGAAAGACGGUUUUGCUGUCACUUAUAGAUGGAUCCGCGCCGCAUUAGCUAGUUGGUAAGGUAACGGCUUACCAAGGCAACGAUGCGUAGCCGACCUGAGAGGGUGAUCGGCCACACUGGAACUGAGACACGGUCCAGACUCCUAAGGGAGGCAGCAGUAGGGAAUCUUCCGCAAUGGGCGAAAGCUUGACGGAGCAACGCCGCGUGAGUGAUGAAGGUCUUCGGAUCGUAAAACUCUGUUAUUAGGGAAGAACAAAUGUGUAAGUAACUAUGCACGUCUUGACGGUACCUAAUCAGAAAGCCACGGCUAACUACGUG